ACCGCGCCUGCGCGAGCGCGCGAGGGGGCGGGGCCGCCGCCCUCCCCUCAGGAGCGCUGCGCUGCCCCCUCUCUCCCCUCAGGCGUUCGGUGCGCAAAGUUCGUGGGUUUUAACGCAAGAAAUCCGUGUUUUCCCGUCUCCAGCACCAUCCCAGCGACAUAAAUUACGUGGGACCAGGGCUGGAGGUAACCAGGAGAGAACCAGACCCCUGGGGCACCGCAGGAUGUGAAACAUGGGAUUUUCUGGACUGAAAAUGAGAGUGGUCACUUUGUCAGAGGUGCUCCCUCAAACCCCAUUAUGAAAACUCUCCUGAAAGUCCUGCUGGUUCUCAGAAGGAGCCUCCUGGCACUUCCACUCCCCAGCAGCUCCAUCCUCAUCACAGCCCAGGGCUGUGGGAUCAGAGUUGGACCUGCAGCUCCAGUUCCUGGCUGCUCUGGACCAUGCCAUGUCUGCAGGAUGCGAGGUGACACUGAAUCGUUACACCAAUUUAUUGUUAUCCGGAGAAUUUUCCAUUACCAGGCAUCCUCUGGCAGCUGGUAAAGACAAUUUGGGACAAGAAGGGACUGCAGCACAAAUAAAGACGUGGCUCGUUAA